AGCCUCCCUCACCGUCCAGCUGGGGAUCUCAUUGCUUCAUUUUCUGUCCUCCACCACGAUGGGGUCAGCUGCCAUCCUCGCCCUCCUCCUGGCUGUUCUCCAAGGAGUCUGCGCCGAGGUGCAGCUGGUGCAGUCUGGAGCAGAGGUGAAAAGGCCCGGGGAAUCUCUGAGGAUCUCCUGUAAGACUUCUGGAUACAGCUUUACCAGCAACUGGAUCAGCUGGGUGCGCCAGAUGCCUGGGAAAGGCCUGGAGUGGAUGGGGAUGAUUGAUCCCAGUGAUUCUGAUACCAGAUACAGCCCGUCCUUCCAAGGCCAGGUCACCAUCUCAGCCGACAAGUCCAUCAGCACCACCUACCUGCAGUGGAGCAGCCUGAAGGCCUCGGACUCCGCCACGUAUUACUGUGCGAAAGUCACAGUGAGAGAAACCAGCACUGAGCCCAUCUAA